CACCAUAGGUACGCAAGAUGUUGCCUUUGGAUAAUAUGUUGCCUCCGGAUAAAUUGUUACCUUAGGUUAUAAUGAUGUCCAAGGACAUCCUAGUUGCCUUCGGUUGAGUUAGCGCGCAUUUGACAGUUGCCCCACAAGUCUUAGGGAUAUCGGGACCGUGAGGAGCGAGGAUGCGGCUCAGGUUGACCAAGUGUCCCCUGAGUCUUGCGAGGAAUGCGGCUAGGGUGACUUUGUAUUUCCGAGGCCUGCGAGGAUGUGUCGC
rnacentral:lncRNA from 1 species